AGGAAAAGCCUCUAAGCAUCAGGUAACAUCAAAUCGUACCCCAAACCGACACAGGUGGUCAGGUAGAGAAUACCAAGGCGCUUGAGAGAACUCGGGUGAAGGAACUAGGCAAAAUGGUGCCGUAACUUCGGGAGAAGGCACGCUGAUAUGUAGGUGAAGUCCCUCGCGGAUGGAGCUGAAAUCAGUCGAAGAUACCAGCUGGCUGCAACUGUUUAUUAAAAACACAGCACUGUGCAAACACGAAAGUGGACGUAUACGGUGUGACGCCUGCCCGGUGCCGGAAGGUUAAUUGAUGGGGUCAGCGCAAGCGAAGCUCUUGAUCGAAGCCCCGGUAAACGGCGGCCGUAACUAUAACGGUCCUAAGGUAGCGAAAUUCCUUGUCGGGUAAGUUCCGACCUGCACGAAUGGCGUAAUGAUGGCCAGGCUGUCUCCACCCGAGACUCAGUGAAAUUGAACUCGCUGUGAAGAUGCAGUGUACCCGCGGCAAGACGGAAAGACCCCGUGAACCUUUACUAUAGCUUGACACUGAACAUUGAGCCUUGAUGUGUAGGAUAGGUGGGAGGCUUAGAAGUGUGGACGCCAGUCUGCAUGGAGCCGACCUUGAAAUACCACCCUUUAAUGUUUGAUGUUCUAACGUUGACCCGUAAUCCGGGUUGCGGACAGUGUCUGGUGGGUAGUUUGACUGGGGCGGUCUCCUCCUAAAGAGUAACGGAGGAGCACGAAGGUUGGCUAAUCCUGGUCGGACAUCAGGAGGUUAGUGCAAUGGCAUAAGCCAGCUUGACUGCGAGCGUGACGGCGCGAGCAGGUGCGAAAGCAGGUCAUAGUGAUCCGGUGGUUCUGAAUGGAAGGGCCAUCGCUCAACGGAUAAAAGGUACUCCGGGGAUAACAGGCUGAUACCGCCCAAGAGUUCAUAUCGACGGCGGUGUUUGGCACCUCGAUGUCGGCUCAUCACAUCCUGGGGCUGAAGUAGGUCCCAAGGGUAUGGCUGUUCGCCAUUUAAAGUGGUACGCGAGCUGGGUUUAGAACGUCGUGAGACAGUUCGGUCCCUAUCUGCCGUGGGCGCUGGAGAACUGAGGGGGGCUGCUCCUAGUACGAGAGGACCGGAGUGGACGCAUCACUGGUGUUCGGGUUGUCAUGCCAAUGGCACUGCCCGGUAGCUAAAUGCGGAAGAGAUAAGUGCUGAAAGCAUCUAAGCACGAAACUUGCCCCGAGAUGAGUUCUCCCUGACCCUUUAAGGGUCCUGAAGGAACGUUGAAGACGACGACGUUGAUAGGCCGGGUGUGUAAGCGCAGCGAUGCGUUGAGCUAACCGGUACUAAUGAACCGUGAGGCUUAACCUU
rnacentral:rRNA from 1 species